AACCGCCCCUCCCCCCGGCUAUGGCUCUGCACGGUGUAGCAUAUACCAAGAGAACCCGCUUGGGUUGUUGAGUUCAUGUGACAGAAAACGUAUAGCCCUAAAUACCCUAGAGUCUAGUAGCUGUUACACCCCCUCUACUUCCGCCCAACAGGGAUUCCUUGCGCUUUCUUAAAUAUUUACAAGAAGAAUUUACAAGAAUUCCAACGCCAAUUGUAGGCCGGCUGUGGAGUCAAUCUGUGAGAUAUACCGCAACCAUGAUCAUCAGACUAGGAAGACUGACUCCGGGAUACUUCCGUCUCCUGCAGCGGCAAGUCUCUGGUGAACUGCAGAUGCAGCCACAGACUCGCCCUGUCAACCACAUCGCUAUGACGAUGGCCACGCUGGGAUUAGGCAUGUCCUGCUACAGCGCCCGGCAGAUGGCUGAAAGGGUCCACCUGAAGGAGCCUGUGGCCUGAGACAGCGCCCCCCGAAGGCCACUAGAGGACACCUCACCAUGCCUACCAGACCAUAGGGCAUUUCCAGAACUCAGACCUGGUGCCAGAUUCUGUGAAAUAAAUACCCCAAACUGGCGUGGAUGAUUGCCCUACCUGGAAUUUCAUACAGGACCACUUUGUCUAACUCCUACUUUUUCAUUUUUUCAUCUUUUUAUAUCUUCGACUAGCCCAACUGAUGAGAAGGUGGUGUGUCAGUGUUCGUGUUUAAAACAUGUGACCUCAUUUAACAAUGUUUAAUGUUUAGGUAACACACACACCACUAGCACUUAAUGCUGACAUUUAAAAAGUAACAUUGUCACCAUAAACUAAACGAAAAAAAGGAGAAACUUGAUCAUUUACAUGACUAAUGUGAAGGAGUGUACCUGACAAUGAAUAUGAAGCUUGAUGGAUGACUUUCCGUGUUUUUUGUAUGUUUGAGUUGGAAUGUGUAUGUUGGGGAAUAAUGAAGCUGGUGCUAAGAUGUGUGUAAACAGAGAUGAGGUUCUUGAAAAGUGUUUUGAAGGAAAAGUGAAAGUCCUACUCCUGUGAAAGAUGUUUGUUCUGUCUGUUGCUUUAACAUGGAGAUGUCUCUAUGCAUGAGAUCAACUCUCUGAUGAUACUUGACAUAUAAACAUUCUGUCACCAGUUUUCUCACCACAUACAUAACAAUAACAAGCCAUAGUUUAUCACAUUAAAAUAAUAAUAUAAGACUUCUACAAUAGAUCUUCAAUACUUAAGUCCUCACACUGUCAUGAUAAGCAUUCACCACUUACAUAGUCAAAUUCAUAAGGAUAGCACGAGUAGACGGAAUGAAACUUAAUACUGUGCGCCGUACUGUUUUUAAACUGUGAAUAAAGUUUUCUUCAAAAUUGAAUUCUGUCGCUAUGAUUUUGUUAAGCAAAACUGAGCAUACUGAUGUCCAAUUCUUUUAGUCCAUCUUCCUAUGUAUCAGGCCUGACGGUGGGUAAUUCAGUAUCAGGGUCCAUAUUGUUGCCCCAUAUUGUUGCUUGUAUAUUUCAUUAUAAAACCAGGGGCAGUGUUGGCUAGUCCUGUAUGAUGGAGGAGUUACAUGAUCAUAUCAACCUCUCUCUAAUGGAAGCUCUUUGAAGCGCUUAUGUAACUCCAUAUGAACACUGCAGGGGUGUUGUGUUUGGGCACUGAUGUGAGGGGGUGUCGCAGGGACUCAUAUUGUCUCUUGAAUGGAUGGCAGCACUGUCUGAAAGGGUUCAUUCAUGUGGAAGUAAUGUUUAAAAGCAGUACAGUUAUAUGUCUUCCUGAGGCCGGGUUGGCUGCGUGAGGGAGCCAGGG
ensembl:lncRNA